rnacentral:rRNA from 1 species
UACGAAGGGAGCUAGCGUUGUUCGGAAUCACUGGGCGUAAAGCGCACGUAGGCGGAUGUGUCAGUCAGGGGUGAAAUCCCGGAGCUCAACUUCGGAACUGCCUUUGAUACAGCACGUCUUGAGUCCGAUAGAGGUGGGUGGAAUUCCUAGUGUAGAGGUGAAAUUCGUAGAUAUUAGGAAGAACACCGGUGGCGAAGGCGGCCCGACUGGACGGUACUGACGCUGAGGUGCGAAAGCGUGGGGAGCGAACAGGAUUGAGA